rnacentral:rRNA from 1 species
AUUGAACGCUGGCGGCAUGCUUUACACAUGCAAGUCGAACGGCAGCGCGGGCUUCGGCCUGGCGGCGAGUGGCGGACGGGUGAGUAAUUCAUCGGAACGUGCCCAGCUGUGGGGGAUAGCUCGGCGAAAGCGGGAUUAAUACCGCAUUCGACCUGAGGGCGUAAGCGUGGGAUCUUCGGACCUCGCGCCCUUGCAGGGGCCGAUGGCGGAUUAGCUAGUUGGUGGGGUAAAGGCCUACCAAGGCGACGAUCUGUAGCUGGUCUGAGAGGACGACCAGCCACACUGGAACUGAGACACGGCCCAGACUCCUACGGGAGGCAGCAGUGGGGAAUUUUGGGCAAUGGGCGAAAGCCUGAUCCAGCAAUGCCGCGUGUGUGAUGAAGGCCUUCGGGUUGUAAAGCACUUUUGGCGGGAACGAAAAGGACUGUGCCAAUACCACGGUUCGAUGACGGUACCCGCAGAAUAAGCACCGGCUAACUACGUG